GGGGGUAGAAUUCCAGGUGUAGCGGUGAAAUGCGUAGAGAUCUGGAGGAAUACCGGUGGCGAAGGCGGCCCCUGGACAAAGACUGACGCUCAGGUGCGAAAGCGUGGGGAGCAAACAGGAUUAGAUACCUGGUAGUCCACGCCGUAAACGAUGUCGAUUUGGAGGUUGUGCCCUGAGGCGUGGCUUCCGGAGCUAACGCGUUAAAUCGACCGCCUGGGGAGUACGGCCGCAAGGUUAAAACUCAAAUGAAUUGACGGGGGCCCGCACAAGCGGUGGAGCAUGUGGUUUAAUUCGAUGCAACGCGAAGAACCUUACCUGGUCUUGACAUCCACAGAACUUAGCAGAGAUGGAUUGGUGCCUUCGGGAACUGUGAGACAGGUGCUGCAUGGCUGUCGUCAGCUCGUGUUGUGAAAUGUUGGGUUAAGUCCCGCAACGAGCGCAACCCUUAUCCUUUGUUGCCAGCGGUCCGGCCGGGAACUCAAAGGAGACUGCCAGUGAUAAACUGGAGGAAGGUGGGGAUGACGUCAAGUCAUCAUGGCCCUUACGACCAGGGCUACACACGUGCUACAAUGGCAUAUACAAAGAGAAGCGACCUCGCGAGAGCAAGCGGACCUCAUAAAGUAUGUCGUAGUCCGGAUUGGAGUCUGCAACUCGACUCCAUGAAGUCGGAAUCGCUAGUAAUCGUAGAUCAGAAUGCUACGGUGAAUACGUUCCCGGGCCUUGUACACACCGCCCGUCACACCAUGGGAGUGGGUGCAAAAGAAGUAGGUAGCUAACCUC
rnacentral:rRNA from 1 species